AGACAUCCAGUCGUCGCAUUAGAUCUCUGGUUAGCGUCGAAGUCUCACAACCAUACAGAAGACAGGUAGCACCAGCGCCCUCGGGAUGUAGA